rnacentral:tRNA from 1 species
GGGACUAUAGUUUAGUUGGCAGAAUACCUGUUUUGCACACAGGAAACGUCGGUUCGAGACCGACUAGUUCCA